GGGCAUCUGGUCUAGUGGUAUGAUUCUCGCUUUGGGUGCGAGAGGUCCCGAGUUCUCGAUUCUCGGAAUGCCCC
rfam:Arabis alpina cultivar Pajares Aa.chr8_contig_250, whole genome shotgun sequence.